UUAAGCGACUAAGCGUACACGGUGGAUGCCCUGGCAGUCAGAGGCGAUGAAGGACGUGCUAAUCUGCGAAAAGCGUCGGUAAGGUGAUAUGAACCGUUAUAACCGGCGAUGUCCGAAUGGGGAAACCCAGUGCAAUUCGUUGCACUAUCGUUAACUGAAUACAUAGGUUAACGAGGCGAACCGGGGGAACUGAAACAUCUAAGUACCCCGAGGAAAAGAAAUCAACCGAGAUUCCCCCAGUAGCGGCGAGCGAACGGGGAGCAGCCCAGAGUCUGAAUCAGCUUGUGUGUUAGUGGAACGGUCUGGAAAGUCCGACGGUACAGGGUGAUAGUCCCGUACACCAAAAUGCACAGGCUGUGAACUCGAAGAGUAGGGCGGGACACGUGGUAUCCUGUCUGAAUAUGGGGGGACCAUCCUCCAAGGCUAAAUACUCCUGACUGACCGAUAGUGAACCAGUACCGUGAGGGAAAGGCGAAAAGAACCCCGGCGAGGGGAGUGAAAAAGAACCUGAAACCGUGUACGUACAAGCAGUGGGAGCACCUUCGGGUGUGACUGCGUACCUUUUGUAUAAUGGGUCAGCGACUUAUAUUCUGUAGCAAGGUUAACCGUAUAGGGGAGCCGCAGGGAAACCGAGUCUUAACUGGGCGUUAAGUUGCAGGGUAUAGACCCGAAACCCGGUGAUCUAGCCAUGGGCAGGUUGAAGGUUGGGUAACACUAACUGGAGGACCGAACCGACUAAUGUUGAAAAAUUAGCGGAUGACUUGUGGCUGGGGGUGAAAGGCCAAUCAAACCGGGAGAUAGCUGGUUCUCCCCGAAAGCUAUUUAGGUAGCGCCUCGUGAAUUCAUCUUCGGGGGUAGAGCACUGUUUCGGCUAGGGGGUCAUCCCGACUUACCAACCCGAUGCAAACUACGAAUACCGAAGAAUGUUAUCACGGGAGACACACGGCGGGUGCUAACGUCCGUCGUGAAGAGGGAAACAACCCAGACCGCCAGCUAAGGUCCCAAAGUCAUGGUUAAGUGGGAAACGAUGUGGGAAGGCACAGACAGCCAGGAUGUUGGCUUAGAAGCAGCCAUCAUUUAAAGAAAGCGUAAUAGCUCACUGGUCGAGUCGGCCUGCGCGGAAGAUGUAACGGGGCUAAACCAUGCACCGAAGCUGCGGCAGCGACACUAUGUGUUGUUGGGUAGGGGAGCGUUCUGUAAGCCUGCGAAGGUGACCUGUGAGGGUUGCUGGAGGUAUCAGAAGUGCGAAUGCUGACAUAAGUAACGAUAAAGCGGGUGAAAAGCCCGCUCGCCGGAAGACCAAGGGUUCCUGUCCAACGUUAAUCGGGGCAGGGUGAGUCGACCCCUAAGGCGAGGCCGAAAGGCGUAGUCGAUGGGAAAACAGGUUAAUAUUCCUGUACUUGGUGUUACUGCGAAGGGGGGACGGAGAAGGCUAUGUUAGCCGGGCGACGGUUGUCCCGGUUUAAGCAUGUAGGCUGGUUAUCCAGGCAAAUCCGGAUAAUCAAGGCUGAGGUGUGAUGACGAGGCACUACGGUGCUGAAGUAACAAAUGCCCUGCUUCCAGGAAAAGCCUCUAAGCAUCAGGUAACAUCAAAUCGUACCCCAAACCGACACAGGUGGUCAGGUAGAGAAUACCAAGGCGCUUGAGAGAACUCGGGUGAAGGAACUAGGCAAAAUGGUGCCGUAACUUCGGGAGAAGGCACGCUGGUGUGUAGGUGAAGCCCCUGCGGUGGAGCCGAGACCAGUCGAAGAUACCAGCUGGCUGCAACUGUUUAUUAAAAACACAGCACUGUGCAAACACGAAAGUGGACGUAUACGGUGUGACGCCUGCCCGGUGCCGGAAGGUUAAUUGAUGGGGUUAUCCGUAAGGAGAAGCUCUUGAUCGAAGCCCCGGUAAACGGCGGCCGUAACUAUAACGGUCCUAAGGUAGCGAAAUUCCUUGUCGGGUAAGUUCCGACCUGCACGAAUGGCGUAAUGAUGGCCAGGCUGUCUCCACCCGAGACUCAGUGAAAUUGAACUCGCUGUGAAGAUGCAGUGUACCCGCGGCAAGACGGAAAGACCCCGUGAACCUUUACUAUAGCUUGACACUGAACAUUGAGCCUUGAUGUGUAGGAUAGGUGGGAGGCUUUGAAGCGUGGACGCCAGUCUGCGUGGAGCCAACCUUGAAAUACCACCCUUUAAUGUUUGAUGUUCUAACGUUGGCCCCUGACCGGGGUUGCGGACAGUGUCUGGUGGGUAGUUUGACUGGGGCGGUCUCCUCCCAAAGCGUAACGGAGGAGCACGAAGGUUAGCUAAUCCUGGUCGGACAUCAGGAGGUUAGUGCAAUGGCAUAAGCUAGCUUGACUGCGAGCGUGACGGCGCGAGCAGGUGCGAAAGCAGGUCAUAGUGAUCCGGUGGUUCUGAAUGGAAGGGCCAUCGCUCAACGGAUAAAAGGUACUCCGGGGAUAACAGGCUGAUACCGCCCAAGAGUUCAUAUCGACGGCGGUGUUUGGCACCUCGAUGUCGGCUCAUCACAUCCUGGGGCUGAAGUAGGUCCCAAGGGUAUGGCUGUUCGCCAUUUAAAGUGGUACGCGAGCUGGGUUUAGAACGUCGUGAGACAGUUCGGUCCCUAUCUGCCGUGGGCGCUGGAGAAUUGAGGGGGGCUGCUCCUAGUACGAGAGGACCGGAGUGGACGCAUCACUGGUGUUCGGGUUGUCAUGCCAAUGGCACUGCCCGGUAGCUAAAUGCGGAAGAGAUAAGUGCUGAAAGCAUCUAAGCACGAAACUUGCCCCGAGAUGAGUUCUCCCUGAGACUUUAAGUCUCCUGAAGGAACGUUGAAGACGAUGACGUUGAUAGGCCGGGUGUGUAAGCGCAGCGAUGCGUUGAGCUAACCGGUACUAAUGAACCGUGAGGCUUAACCUU
rnacentral:rRNA from 1 species